UACUAUACUAAAUUAUUUGGCCCAAAGAGAAGGCCUAAUACCUAAUUAAUUAGUAAACCCUAUCCACUCCACCAAAUUCAAAAAGAAAUAGAAAGGAAGGGGGCGGCUACUUCCCCCCUCAACCUCUCUCUCUCCUGCCGCGCCGGUGAGGACGCCGGCCGCCGGCGCGUCUUCCUCCCUCCUCUCUCUCUCUCCCUCGGUCUCUCUCUUUCUCCCUCAGUCUCUCUCUUUCUCUCUCGGUCUCUCUACCGCCGGGGACGACCACCUCCGCCGUCGCCUCUGUAUACAUGGCGGUCUCACCGCCGUCAACCGAGAGAGAUUUGGAUAGAUCGUGAAAACGUGGUCGAAGGAGGUUAGUUUCGCUGUGAUCGCCGGACUGCCGCCGGAGCGCUGCCGGAAAGUCGCCAGACUGCCGUCGCUGGGCAGAAUUUCCGAAAAUCCGGCAGCUUCUUUACUCACGAGAUAAGCUUCACUGUUCAGUUAAUGGUGUUUUUAUAUAAGUCUUAAAUCUUAAGUUUGCAUUUUGUUGGAUUAUUUGAGAAGCCACUAUUGCUCUAUAGGAGUUCCCUUUUUUUUCUAUCCAAUGAUUGACAUUUCUCAAAAUGACAAAAGGGUAAAUAAAAUAGCUUUGCAUUUUUCCGCAAAAAAGGGCAAAUAGGUCUUUUCUAUUUAUAUAAGGCUAAUUAAUAACUACUGUCAAUUCUACGCCACUCGAUUCUAGGAUCUAAUGGUCUUGCCAUGUUAAAUUUUAAAAUUUUAAUACUCCACCUUUGCUUCUAACUUGGAAAAGACUUCAACAACGAAAUUCAAUUCCUAUUUUAAAUAAUAAGCUACGUUAAAUGAAGCAAUAAUCAUGAAUCAAUAGUCAUACAAUCUUUUUACACUUUACGCCGUAGUUAGCACAAUUAAACGUGACACACUGAAAUGUGACACCUCAUGUAGGUAUUCGAUAACGUAAUUUUGCAAUAACAUAUUAUUAAUCAAGCACUAUUUUAUGGUUUAAGAUCGGUUUUGGAGACUAGCACCAUUAUCAUUAACAUGCUUUUAUUGGGAUUAGUUGCCUCUUAUGAAUCAGGUUUAUAUUUACUCAAUUUCGUCCCCUAUUUUGACAUGUUCGUGUAGUAUUAAUUGUAUCUGAAUUUUCGGUUGCAGAUUUAAUAUUGUACGUCUGUUGAUAUUAUUAUCCAAGAAGUUGACAUUUAUAUAACAAAGUUAACAUUGUACUUAUUUAUUAGUGCAAAGUAUACAUUUUUAUAGGUACAAGCUUUUUUUUUGUUGCUAGUGUCUGUUGACAUUAUUAUUGAAAAAGUUGACAUUUAUAUAUGGCGGAGUUGAUAUCAUAUUUGUUAGUGUAUUGUUUAUAUUUUAUAGAUACAAAUUGACAUUGUUGCUAGUGUUUGUUGGCAUUUUACUAAAAAUGUUGAUAUUUAUAUAUAGCUUAGUUGACAUUAUAUUUGUUAGUGAGUAGUUGAUAUUUUAAUAGAUAUAAGUUGACAUUGUUACUAGUGUCUAUUGACAUUUAUAUACAACGUAGUUGACAUUGUAGUGCAUAGUUGAUUUUUUUAUUGAUACUAGUUGACAUUGUUGCUGGUGUCUGUUGAUAUUGUUGCUAGUAACUGUUGACAUUUUUACUGAAGAAGUUGACAUCUAUAUAUAGCGUAGUUGAUAUUGUAUUUGUUAGUGCAUAGUUGAUAUUUACAAGUUGACAUUGUUGCUAGUGUCUGUUGACAUUAUAACUGAAGAAGUUGACAUUUAUAUAUAUAUCGAAGCUGACAUUGUAUAUGUUAGUGCAUAGUUGAUAUUUUUAUAGAUACAAGUUGACAUCGUUGCUGGUAUUUGUUAACAUUAUGCCUUUUGUCGUACCCAAUUUGAUAUUAAUUUCAAUCUACAAGUUGACUACGUCGAUAUGCCUCGUUGAAGUGACUCCAUUGUGCAAUGAUGAGUACUAUUAUUGUUAGUGAAUAAUUCAGUUGAUAAGCUUGUGAAGAAGCUGAUGGCGAGCUUUCACGCGACAGAAAAGGUGUUGGAGGAGAUGUUGAUGCGCAUGGUGUUGAAAAAGCUGGUGUCUGUUGACAUUGUUUCUAGUGUCUGUUGGCAUUAUUAUUAUUAAAUAAGUCGACAUUUAUAUACGGUGGAGUUGACAUUGUGUUUGUUAGUUUAUGUUUGUUAGUUUAUAGUGAUA